UUAAGCGACUAAGCGUACACGGUGGAUGCCCUGGCAGUCAGAGGCGAUGAAGGACGUGCUAAUCUGCGAUAAGCGUCGGUAAGGUGAUAUGAACCGUUAUAACCGGCGAUUUCCGAAUGGGGAAACCCAGUGUGUUUCGACACACUAUCAUUAACUGAAUCCAUAGGUUAAUGAGGCGAACCGGGGGAACUGAAACAUCUAAGUACCCCGAGGAAAGAAAUCAACCGAGAUUCCCCCAGUAGCGGCGAGCGAACGGGGAGGAGCCCAGAGCCUGAAUCAGUGUGUGUGUUAGUGGAAGCGUCUGGAAAGGCGCGCGAUACAGGGUGACAGCCCCCGUACACAAAAAUGCACAUGCUGUGAGCUCGAUGAGUAGGGCGGGACACGUGGUAUCCUGUCUGAAUAUGGGGGGACCAUCCUCCAAGGCUAAAUACUCCUGACUGACCGAUAGUGAACCAGUACCGUGAGGGAAAGGCGAAAAGAACCCCGGCGAGGGGAGUGAAAAAGAACCUGAAACCGUGUACGUACAAGCAGUGGGAGCACGCUAAGGCGUGUGACUGCGUACCUUUUGUAUAAUGGGUCAGCGACUUAUAUUCUGUAGCAAGGUUAACCGAAUAGGGGAGCCGAAGGGAAACCGAGUCUUAACUGGGCGUUAAGUUGCAGGGUAUAGACCCGAAACCCGGUGAUCUAGCCAUGGGCAGGUUGAAAGUUGGGUAACACUAACUGGAGGACCGAACCGACUAAUGUUGAAAAAUUAGCGGAUGACUUGUGGCUGGGGGUGAAAGGCCAAUCAAACCGGGAGAUAGCUGGUUCUCCCCGAAAGCUAUUUAGGUAGCGCCUCGUGAAUUCAUCUCCGGGGGUAGAGCACUGUUUCGGCAAGGGGGUCAUCCCGACUUACCAACCCGAUGCAAACCGCGAAUACCGGAGAAUGUUAUCACGGGAGACACACGGCGGGUGCUAACGUCCGUCGUGAAGAGGGAAACAACCCAGACCGCCAGCUAAGGUCCCAAAGUCAUGGUUAAGUGGGAAACGAUGUGGGAAGGCCCAGACAGCCAGGAUGUUGGCUUAGAAGCAGCCAUCAUUUAAAGAAAGCGUAAUAGCUCACUGGUCGAGUCUGCCUGCGCGGAAGAUGUAACGGGGCUAAACCAUGCACCGAAGCUGCGGCAGCGACGCUGAUGCGUUGUUGGGUAGGGGAGCGUUCUGUAAGCCUGUGAAGGUGUGCUGUGAGGCAUGCUGGAGGUAUCAGAAGUGCGAAUGCUGACAUAAGUAACGAUAAAGCGGGUGAAAAGCCCGCUCGCCGGAAGACCAAGGGUUCCUGUCCAACGUUAAUCGGGGCAGGGUGAGUCGACCCCUAAGGCGAGGCCGAAAGGCGUAGUCGAUGGGAAACAGGUUAAUAUUCCUGUACUUGGUGUUACUGCGAAGGGGGGACGGAGAAGGCUAUGUUGGCCGGGCGACGGUUGUCCCGGUUUAAGCGUGUAGGCUGGUUUUCCAGGCAAAUCCGGAAAAACUAAGGCUGAGGCGUGAUGACGAGGCACUACGGUGCUGAAGCAACAAAUGCCCUGCUUCCAGGAAAAGCCUCUAAGCAUCAGGUAACAUCAAAUCGUACCCCAAACCGACACAGGUGGUCAGGUAGAGAAUACCAAGGCGCUUGAGAGAACUCGGGUGAAGGAACUAGGCAAAAUGGUGCCGUAACUUCGGGAGAAGGCACGCUGAUAUGUAGGUGAAGUCCCUCGCGGAUGGAGCUGAAAUCAGUCGAAGAUACCAGCUGGCUGCAACUGUUUAUUAAAAACACAGCACUGUGCAAAACACGAAAGUGGACGUAUACGGUGUGACGCCUGCCCGGUGCCGGAAGGUUAAUUGAUGGGGUCAGCGCAAGCGAAGCUCUUGAUCGAAGCCCCGGUAAACGGCGGCCGUAACUAUAACGGUCCUAAGGUAGCGAAAUUCCUUGUCGGGUAAGUUCCGACCUGCACGAAUGGCGUAAUGAUGGCCAGGCUGUCUCCACCCGAGACUCAGUGAAAUUGAACUCGCUGUGAAGAUGCAGUGUACCCGCGGCAAGACGGAAAGACCCCGUGAACCUUUACUAUAGCUUGACACUGAACAUUGAGCCUUGAUGUGUAGGAUAGGUGGGAGGCUUUGAAGUGUGGACGCCAGUCUGCAUGGAGCCGACCUUGAAAUACCACCCUUUAAUGUUUGAUGUUCUAACGUUGACCCGUAAUCCGGGUUGCGGACAGUGUCUGGUGGGUAGUUUGACUGGGGCGGUCUCCUCCUAAAGAGUAACGGAGGAGCACGAAGGUUGGCUAAUCCUGGUCGGACAUCAGGAGGUUAGUGCAAUGGCAUAAGCCAGCUUGACUGCGAGCGUGACGGCGCGAGCAGGUGCGAAAGCAGGUCAUAGUGAUCCGGUGGUUCUGAAUGGAAGGGCCAUCGCUCAACGGAUAAAAGGUACUCCGGGGAUAACAGGCUGAUACCGCCCAAGAGUUCAUAUCGACGGCGGUGUUUGGCACCUCGAUGUCGGCUCAUCACAUCCUGGGGCUGAAGUAGGUCCCAAGGGUAUGGCUGUUCGCCAUUUAAAGUGGUACGCGAGCUGGGUUUAGAACGUCGUGAGACAGUUCGGUCCCUAUCUGCCGUGGGCGCUGGAGAACUGAGGGGGGCUGCUCCUAGUACGAGAGGACCGGAGUGGACGCAUCACUGGUGUUCGGGUUGUCAUGCCAAUGGCACUGCCCGGUAGCUAAAUGCGGAAGAGAUAAGUGCUGAAAGCAUCUAAGCACGAAACUUGCCCCGAGAUGAGUUCUCCCUGACUCCUUGAGAGUCCUGAAGGAACGUUGAAGACGACGACGUUGAUAGGCCGGGUGUGUAAGCGCAGCGAUGCGUUGAGCUAACCGGUACUAAUGAACCGUGAGGCUUAACCUU
rnacentral:rRNA from 1 species